AGAGUUUGAUCCUGGCUCAGAUUGAACGCUGGCGGCAUGCCUUACACAUGCAAGUCGAACGGCAGCACGGAGCUUGCUCUGGUGGCGAGUGGCGAACGGGUGAGUAAUAUAUCGGAACGUACCCUAGAGUGGGGGAUAACGUAGCGAAAGUUACGCUAAUACCGCAUACGAUCUAAGGAUGAAAGUGGGGGAUCGCAAGACCUCAUGCUCGUGGAGCGGCCGAUAUCUGAUUAGCUAGUUGGUAGGGUAAAAGCCUACCAAGGCAUCGAUCAGUAGCUGGUCUGAGAGGACGACCAGCCACACUGGAACUGAGACACGGUCCAGACUCCUACGGGAGGCAGCAGUGGGGAAUUUUGGACAAUGGGCGAAAGCCUGAUCCAGCAAUGCCGCGUGAGUGAAGAAGGCCUUCGGGUUGUAAAGCUCUUUUGUCAGGGAAGAAACGGUGAGAGCUAAUAUCUCUUGCUAAUGACGGUACCUGAAGAAUAAGCACCGGCUAACUACGUGCCAGCAGCCGCGGUAAUACGUAGGGUGCAAGCGUUAAUCGGAAUUACUGGGCGUAAAGCGUGCGCAGGCGGUUUUGUAAGUCUGAUGUGAAAUCCCCGGGCUCAACCUGGGAAUUGCAUUGGAGACUGCAAGGCUAGAAUCUGGCAGAGGGGGGUAGAAUUCCACGUGUAGCAGUGAAAUGCGUAGAUAUGUGGAGGAACACCGAUGGCGAAGGCAGCCCCCUGGGUCAAGAUUGACGCUCAUGCACGAAAGCGUGGGGAGCAAACAGGAUUAGAUACCCUGGUAG
rnacentral:rRNA from 1 species